rnacentral:rRNA from 1 species
UGCCACACUGGGACUGAGACACGGUCCAGACUCCUACGGGAGGCAGCAGUAGGGAAUAUUGCACAAUGGAGGAAACUCUGAUGCAGCGACGCCGCGUGAGSAUGAAGGCCUUCGGGUUGUAAAGCUCUGUGAUAGGGGAAGAUAAUGACGGUACCCUAUCAGAAAGGACCGGCUACUUCGUGCCAGCAGCCGCGGUAAUACGAGGGUCCAAGCGUUGUUCGGAAUUACUGGGCGUAAAGCGGGUGUAGGCGGCUAGGUUAGUCGGAUGUGAAAGCCCAGGGCUCAACCCUGGAAGUGCAUCCGAUACUGCCUAGCUUGAAUACUGGAGAGGGAAGUGGAAUUCCUGGUGUAGCGGUGAAAUGCGUAGAUAUCAGGAGGAACAUCGGUGGCGAAGGCGGCUUCCUGGCCAAGUAUUGACGCUCAGACCCGAAAGCGUGGGUAGCAAACAGGAUUAGAUACCCUGGUAGUCCACGCCGUAAACUAUGGACACUUGGUGUUGGAGGUAUUGACCCCUUCAGUGCCGGAGCUAACGCGUUAAGUGUCCCGCCUGGGGAGUACGGUCGCAAGAUUAAAACUCAAAGAAAUUGACGGGGGCCCGCACAAGCGGUGGAGCAUGUGGUUUAAUUCGAUGCAACGCGAAAUACCUUACCUGGGUUUGAAUUGCAGUGGACCACGCCAGAGAUGGCGUUUCUCUUCGGAGUCGCUGUGAAGGUGCUGCAUGGCUGUCGUCAGCUCGUGUCGUGAGAUGUUGGGUUAAGUCCCGCAACGAGCGCAACCCUUACCUUUAGUUGCCAGCAUUCAGUUGGGCACUCUAAAGGGACUGCCGACGUUAAGUCGGAGGAAGGUGAGGAUGACGA